GCAUUCUUAGCUCAGUUGGAUAGAGCAACAACCUUCUAAGUUGAAGGUUUUCUACGUAGGUUCGAAUCCUGCCUCUCCCA
rnacentral:tRNA from 1 species